AUUGAACGCUGGCGGCAUGCUUUACACAUGCAAGUCGAACGGUAACAGGCCGCAAGGUGCUGACGAGUGGCGAACGGGUGAGUAAUGCAUCGGAACGUGCCCAGGCGUGGGGGAUAACUGCUCGAAAGAGCAGCUAAUACCGCAUACGAUCUAUGGAUGAAAGCGGGGGACCGGAAGGCCUCGCGCGCUUGGAGCGGCCGAUGUCAGAUUAGGUAGUUGGUGGGGUAAAGGCUCACCAAGCCAACGAUCUGUAGCUGGUCUGAGAGGACGACCAGCCACACUGGGACUGAGACACGGCCCAGACUCCUACGGGAGGCAGCAGUGGGGAAUUUUGGACAAUGGGCGCAAGCCUGAUCCAGCAAUGCCGCGUGCAGGAAGAAGGCCUUCGGGUUGUAAACUGCUUUUGUACGGAACGAAACGGUCCUGGUUAAUACCCGGGGCUAAUGACGGUACCGUAAGAAUAAGCACCGGCUAACUACGUGCCAGCAGCCGCCGUAAUAC
rnacentral:rRNA from 1 species